rnacentral:lncRNA from 1 species
CCCGGAACUCGGCCGUGCCAUUCCCAUGAUGCCCAGCCACCGGGCACGGCUUCCGGAGCGCGGCCGCCGAUGCAGCAGCAGCGGAAUGACAGCUCCCAAGAUUGACCAGGUAGUUGAACCAACAACCAUUGAGACUGUCAGAGAAGCCCAGCUCUGGGUCCAUCGUAUAAGCUGUGAGCAGGUGAGUGGAAAUAAACUGAUUUGUUCCCUCAACUCUGCACCUGCUGUAAUGGUCUCCUUCUUGUUAGAUAGGAAUGUUACUCACCCCACCCGCCCUGCCCCUCCCCUCCCUGCCCCGCCCAGGAGAGCACGUUUGGUCGUGUUUACUUUGGUGGGUUGAGACUGGAUCUCAGUAGUCCAGAUGCUGUCUUUGAAAUAGGUAAGGAACCAGUGCUAGCCUUGAACUCAAGAUCCUCUGGCCUUCACCUGAAAUUAAGACAUACCUCCACCAUACCCUACUUGACUCAGACCCUUCACAGUUAAGCUGAGCAAGUGUUUUGUGAUUUCUGUAGUAGGUCCCUGAGCCAGUGAAGAAGUUCCUCUCCCCAUUAGUUCCCACUGCCCUGAGCCUGGUGUCUCAGGAAGACAAAGUUAUUGUUGAGGUGGCUGGCCGGCCAGGAUGUGAGCUCAGGUAGAGGAAAGCACCUCCCACCCUGUGGCUCUUGCAAGAGAG